AGGUAUGUACCAUGCAAGUUAAACUAUGUAUACGUGUAUUUUCCGUAGAUUUCAGGGGUGUAUGUUGCUAUUUUAUAUCUCUGUCGAGCUAGCUACUGUUUCUACUUUUUGUGAUUGGGGCUUUUUGAGAUUAAUUUUGGGGUUAUUUGGAAUAUUAUUUCAAAUAGCCCCAUCUAACGAUUCUUUAUGCAUUAGUACGGGUUUGAGUGAUGGUUUCAAAUAGCCCCAAAAGUGCAAAAAAAGAUAUUUAAGGGGAAAAUCAAGAAAAAAUCAUGGUGCGAACAUAUCAAAGGAAAUAUACCAACUCACGUUGCGGUAAAACACAUCCACCAUAUCUAAGUUAUUCUAAAGAAAGUCUAGAAAACGCAAUAAAAGCCAUUUAAAAUGGUUUAAUGAAAUUAAAAGAGGCUUCCAAAAAUUACAAUAUUCCAAUGAGCACUUUGAGUAGGAAAUCUAGAAACAAAAAUUGCACGCAAGAAAAAGCUGGGCACCCAACUCUAUUUUCAAUAGAGGAAGAGAAGACUUUUGUAGAAUAUAUACAAUUACUGAGCCCUUGGGGAUUUCCUUUGGAUACAACUGACUUACGAGUUUUGGUACUCUACUGUGAUGAUAAAAACAGUAAAUAUUUUAUUUAUUUAUUUAUUUAACUCUUUAUUGCACCAUAAAUAAAAAUAUACAAUGACAAGUUACAUUGGAUAUACAAAUAUUACAUUGGAUUUAUCGAAAAUAUUAAAUUUGAUGGACAAAAAUAUAAUUACAGUGUUAAUUUUUACAAAACUAUUAAAAAGCCACAGCUUGCGUUUUGGAUUAGCAAGAAAAUUUAUCGCGAUGAAGUUGAUGACAUAUGGAUUGUGAAAAAAAUUAUUAUGAAUAAUAAUCCUAUGAAGAAAAACGAGUUUCUUCUCGCUGAAGAAAGCGAUAUGGUGUAUUUUUGAGAUACUUUAAGCCACUUUAUUUUUCCAGAAUUUGUUUUUAUGUUAAGCAAAAUUUAUAAUCUUUUGUUACAUUUUAUAGCAUUUAUGUAGCUUUAACUAGGUAUGUACCUAGUAGUUACUAUUAUGUUUCUUUUCAUAAUGAAGAUUAUAAAAUAAUUUGAUUAAAAAUAUA